AAGGAUCAUUACCGAGUUUUCGAGCUCCGG
rnacentral:rRNA from 1 species